GACCGGAUGGCGCAGUGGUAAGCGCAUCUGCCUAAUAAGCAGGAGACCUGUGUUCGAAUCCCUGUCCAGCACA